rnacentral:rRNA from 1 species
GACGAACGCUGGCGGCGUGCCUAAUACAUGCAAGUAGAACGCACAGUUUAUACCGUAGCUUGCUACACCAUAGACUGUGAGUUGCGAACGGGUGAGUAACGCGUAGGUAACCUGCCUGGUAGCGGGGGAUAACUAUUGGAAACGAUAGCUAAUACCGCAUAAUAUUGAUUAUUGCAUGAUAAUUGAUUGAAAGAUGCUAUUGCAUCACUACCAGAUGGACCUGCGUUGUAUUAGCUAGUAGGUGAGGUAACGGCUCACCUAGGCGACGAUACAUAGCCGACCUGAGAGGGUGAUCGGCCACACUGGGACUGAGACACGGCCCAGACUCCUACGGGAGGCAGCAGUAGGGAAUCUUCGGCAAUGGACGAAAGUCUGACCGAGCAACGCCGCGUGAGUGAAGAAGGUUUUCGGAUCGUAAAGCUCUGUUGUAAGGGAAGAACGGGUGUGAGAGUGGAAAGUUCACACUGUGACGGUAUCUGACCAGAAAGGGACGGCUAACUACGUG